AGAGCAUCCUGAUAAAGAACAGAGUUCAGCAUCUCUGAGCUUCUUAAACUGAGCAUAUUGCCCAAUUUUCUAUACAAUUCUUCGUACGACCUGAGGGCCGAUAGAUCAAGAGUACGACCAACAUUCUCCAACUCUGUAAACACUUUGCAAUGACCGGUGUCCAAGCCAAGACCAGUUUUGUCUUGACCAUUGUACGAGGUAGAUCCUCCCUCUGAUGAAUUCUCCAGUGAACCAUUUUGUUGUGAUGACAAACCAG
rnacentral:misc_RNA from 1 species